rnacentral:tRNA from 1 species
GGUGUAGCUCAGUUGGUAGAGCAUCGGUCUCCAAAACCGAGUGUCGGGAGUUCGAGUCUCUCCACC